rnacentral:rRNA from 1 species
UCGCCUGGUUUAUUCAAAAACAUGGCCCUUUGGUUCAAAAAAUAAAAAGGGUCUGGCCUGCCCGGUGAAGUUUUAAACGGUCGCAGCUAUAACUGUGCAAAGGUAGCAUAAUAGGUCGUCCUUUAAUUGGGGGAAAGUAUGAAUGGUCGGAUGUUGGAAAAGCUUUAUUGUGUGUAUAUUUUGAAUUUUACUUUUCUGUGCAAAGGCAGAAAUUUCUUUAUUAGACGAGAAGACCCUUUUGAGCUUAGUAUGUUUAGUGUGAAUAGUACAUUAGACUAUGUUUUUUCGGGGAAGAAAGGAAGGGAAAAUAUGCCUUCCGUUAAAAAGCAUAGAUCCAGCAUGGCUGAAAAGCGGAAGAUAGCUACCAAAGGGAUAACAGCGCAAUCUUUUUGAUAAGGCCUUAUUUAAGGAAGGGUUUGCGACCUCGAUGUUGAAUCAGAAUAUCUACUAGGUGUAGCAGCUUGGUAAGUAGGACUGUUCGUCCUUUAAAAUUCUACGUGAUCUGAG